UUUUCUUCUCUCUCGUCUCUCUCCCUUUCUAUCUCUGUUAAAAAAAAGAAUCUUUUUCUUUUCUUUUCAUGUGAUUCUUUUUAUGUGGAGUUGAGAGCACAAAUUGUGAAAUCUGGUUGUUGGCUGAUUGAUAUGUAACUGUGAUUCUGAGAACUAUAAUUCUUAACUUUUCGGGAGGGUUGAGCACUCACCAUUGCUGUUGACGCCAAGCUUACCGUAGAAUGCUUGCAACUUGUUUGACAAAUUGUGUGAGAGAGAAAUUAGUUUGCCGGUGAAGUCUGAGUAACUGAGCGACAUUAGGAGCUGUGUAGAAGUAAGUGUUGAUUUGUAGUUCAGGUACAAGAGGUAGUUCGAACACAUCACUAGAACUUAAACAUGAAGAGAAAAUUAUGCAAUGUGAAGCUAAUUUUUGAGUUUUUAGCCAAUACAUAACAUGGUUUCUGAAGUUCUUUAGCAUUAUUUCUAAGUUCUGCUUCAUAAAUUGAAUAUUCUAAAUGUUCUUUCACUGAAUUUGGAUUCAAUAUGGUUAGAAUAGUUCGCUUUGGAUUCUAGGAUUACAUUCUCUUUGGAACUUGGCUUAAAAUGAAGUGAUGAAAAUGGUGGUCACAAUUUUGAAUUAAAUGGACUAUGAAACUCCCAUCUUUCUGUGUUUUGGUAAUUGCAAUCAAACUCAGUGUAUAAUUUUAUGAAUAUAAAUUUGGUAGUCUGUCAUGAUCCAAUUUAGGAUCGCGCGGGCACCUAUUUUUUCCUCCUCGGUAGGCGAACCCUCAAUCAAUAACACAUUAAUCAAGUAAAGAAAAUUUGAAUAUUCAAUAAAUAAGUACAAUUGAUAGCAGAAAAUAAUUCAUUUAAUAACUCAAGGUUGAGAAAGAUUACAACAGUUAAAUAAUUACAAACACAUUCCGACUUCCCAUGACUUGGUCUAAACUAAUACAAGAGCGACUAAAUGAUCCAGAUCACUACAACACUCUAAGACUCAACCUCUAUCCCAGAAUGAAAUGGGAGGAGGCCUUCCGGAUAGGCAUCGCGCAUUUCCGAACAUGUCAAAAUCAACCACCUGAAACAAUCUACAUCCCGAAAAGCGUGUAGCAAGAACAGUAUCAGUACAAUCCACGAGUACUGAGUAAGUAUCAUAGGCCGACAAUGGUUAGAAAUACAUAUCAGUAAAAGAAUUCACAAAUAAACAUGAUAUUAACUAAAUCAAGUCAUACGUCUAUCUACGGCUCAUUAUGACAUCAAUGCCCUUAAAUGAUUAACUUUCCUCUAAUAACCACAAGUUAAUUUCACAACAAUGUCACAAGUCAUAUAUUAUUAUACCGUUCGUCUUUAGUCUAGAAGUCAACUCAUCAUUAUGAUACCUUGUAUCCUACACACCUUAGGGGUCGAACAUAUAACUGAUCCUAUGAACUAUCUACGAGAUAAAUCAACAAGUAUAAGUCACAGAAAAACGAAGCCAAGUAUACGUUCGCCUAAGUAAGCAUCUAAUCCUAAUUGUGUCAAGUCUCAAUAUGUCAAUCCGAAUCCAACAUUACAAUUAAACACUAAAUCAUCUCAAGCAAGCCAUAAGGCAAAGCAAUGUAGUGAUGGAUGGAUGAAUGCAAUGCGAUGCCAUGCUAAUGUUGUGUACAUAUGUACUCCGGAGGGAAAUAUCGACAUCUCGGUAGCACAACCCAGUGUGACUCGCGAAGUCUAAGUGCCACCGUCCCGGAUCUUUGCGCAACAGAUAGACGGAACCCCAGAUCUUUGCCUACGGGGGGCUCUCACCGGUACCACUCUGGGGCACUCGCGGAGUCCAUGCGCUCUCUCAAUCCACGAUUCCGGUACUAUCAUCGGAUAUCAGACUCUCACAUCACUCUCAUUUCAAAAUCGAGCCAAGCUCAUCAUAAUGUUUCAUCAAGCAUCAUUAGUGUCUCAACAGUAUACCAUGAAGAAUGAGAAUGAAAGUGCAUGUAAUGCAUGUAUCAACAUCAAUAAUCAUACUCAAUAUCAUAAGUACCAACAAAGGAGUACGUGAACAAUAAUCAAUGCCACAAGUACCAACAAAGGGGUGCGCCAACAAUAAUCAAUGUCACAAGUAUCAACAAUAGGUAUGUCAACAAUAUCACCAGUGACUACACAAGUAAUACGAAAAUCUAUCCACAUAUCAACAUCAAAUUUAGGUACCUCCAUAACACAAUCAAAUUAUAGCAACACUUCCCGAUACCAAUUACACACUCGUGGCAUCAAGCCAACACAAUAGAUCAAUCAAGUCGCAAUACAUCAUUACCACUCUCCCCUUAUUAGCCUAUUAGCUUAGUACAAGUAAAUUCACCUCCUAUUCACAAGACAUUCAUUAGUACAUCCUAUCCGUUCAAUUAUCAGCUAGGUUAACUAUUGUUGACACCCAAUUUUAUCCCUCCUUUAUUCCAAUUUAUCUUCUUGGGCUUCUAAAUUUAUUAACGAGCUAAAUACUUUAUUUUCGCCGUUGUUUUCAUUACUAUUCCUAUUAAUAUUGUCACCCUUCUUAUUACUUUCGUCUUCACUAUUUUACUAUCAAUAUUACUAGCAUUACCUCAUCACAAUUUUUAGCGGUUCAUCGUUAUUUCAUUUUUUUUUGGAUUUGGACUCGUUAAAUUAAUUAUAAGUCCUUAUUUUCUACAUAUUAAUCACUAAUUGUCAUCAUAAUAUAUUAUACAAGUUAAUCACUUAGAAGUUGUAGAAAUUAAUUACUAAGAAGCCCAAAGGAAAUUAAGUUGAAGGAGAAAAGACCAUAAAAUUUCAGCCAAAUCAAGCCCACUAUCCGUUAAGUGGAUCAGCCCACACAACCAACCCAUCUCGUCCAAACCGACCCGACCCGGCCCACACUUUCACAUUUCAUUGCCUAAACCUAGAGAUUACAGAUCCGCCGCAGCCCUCUUUCCUUUCCCUUCUCUCUCGUCUCUCUUCCCUUUCUCUCUCCCCUCUCCAUUUGUAGUAUACCCUAACUUUCCUUUAACCAUGGACAGAAAUUGCCUCCCUAUUUUGUGCUAUGGGUUUGUCGUCUACGUUGUUGAGUCCAUCUCGCCACGUGAAACUGAACAAAAGGAACUUUCCCCUUCUACCAUUUUUCUUUUGGUCUUUCGAUUGCAACAGUUUAAUUGCACCAUUUGGGUGAAAAACGUCCACCUACAAAGCUUUAGCAUGUUAUUCAAACCCGUGACACCCUUUUGGACAUUUUCGAAUUUGAAAUUUGAAAAUCCUAACCCUAGCACUCAUCUGCUAUAAAUAUAUCUUGAAAAUCUUAGGAGAGGAGAAUUUUUUUUAGCCACCUGAACCCCUCUUAAAAUAUUUAUAAUUUUUUAUCACAAUAUCUUGGAAUACUCAUUUGAGGUAUUAAGUCGUUUACUCUUGUCAAUUCUGUUGUUACUUUGAAAUCGAGUGUAGAUCGGAGAUUUAAAGCCCGUUCACUGCACCCGAAAAAGGUCAAAGUCAUGAGCUGAGCUAAGUCAAUGUUGUUAGGUACUAUAUUAGGCUUCCAUAGCUCUGAAAUAUGCUUUUAAAAGUGUUUUAGUACUUUGAAAAUCCUAAAGUACAUAUGUGUGUUUGAAAACUAGAUAAAUGGUUGACGGAGAGGGGCUGUUGCUGUGCUGCAGUUUCGCCGCUUGCAUUGCAAUUCUCGCAUAAACAAUGGAUCCGCUGGGCUGGAUGAGCAACCUUCUAUCUGGCCUCUGUACCAAUAGUAGAGUGGCUUGCUACUUUCAAUCACUUUUUUUGGCUUCCCUAAAAUAGAAUAUUUGGAAGUUGGUAAAGACCCGCCCCUUGUUUCAGUCAGAAUGAGUCCCCGAGACCAUCUGUGGAGUUUUAGUAGUUUAAAGCUUGAUUUUGUGACAACCUUGUGUAUUAUGCGUUAAGCUUUGCAUUAACAUUGGUCUGGUCGCAUUUCAUUCACUAAGUAUUUUAGGUACCUAAAGUAUAAGUGUUUGGACUGUCACAUGUGUUUAAACUGCAAAUUGUUCCCACACCCCAGCAUGCCUAAAAUGAUUAAAUUCAGUAUGGUUGCUCUAUUUUAAGUGUUUAGCUAAGCAUGUGUUGCAACAAUGGCUGUGACACUGUCACAUUUUUACAGUUGGUUUAGGCUUUUUUCCUUUUUUUGUUGGUGCUAUGUUAUGGUUCUUGAAUCUUUCGGCUCAUGUGAUGUCUUUCGCCAAUUGAGUUUGGCCUAUUUGGCUUGUGAAACAAACUGGUUUCUAGUUUUGAGAGAUUUUGGGCUAAUAAGAGCAGUGGUGCAGAAGUCAGUCUUUCACUUCUUCCUUUUUUUUAUCUGGGCCUGGCCCGAGAGUGGCAUUCAAAUAAUUAUGUUUAUGAUCAUCUUUUCUUUUUAUGUACGCAACUUGUAUCUAUGUAUAUUUUAGAGUUACACUUAUAUUGAGUAAUUAGUUUCUGUGCUUUUCUUCCUUACUAGUGAUUAACCACUGCAUCUAUUUACAUAAUAUCACUUGUUUGGCUUGAAUACUGAAACUGCUCUGUUAUGUUGGUUGUCGAUUAUAAAAUCUUGUAUAUUAUAGAAUGAUGUCACCGCUCUAAUCCUUUUUUUUCUCUUCUCCCUUUACAUGUACACUUCGGAGCGAUAUGGGGUCUUCACAAAGACUCAUUAUCCGAACAGUCUCAUUUUGAAAUUCUGCGGCAUUUGGACCUUGCAUGCGCAUUCCCAUUCGGCUCUCAUUCUCUCGACAUUCAUCCGAACAGAAAACAAAGAGAGUGGCUAGCGAAACGGCGAACCACUGAAAACUCUACUCUUCUAUGGAAGCCAAAUAUGGCUUUAGUCAUCUUAUUUUAUUCUCCGAUGCUUGUUUAUACGUUGGUGUGACUAACAUUUUACCUAGCUGUGUGAUUAUGAUAAAUACUUAGCUGCUUAUGUUUAACCGAGCCAAUGUUAUAUUAGGAUGUCUUAAUUAGAAAAUGUAGGUCUUAAAUCAAGUGAGUUUAAUUGUUCCUUGUAAGUUUGGCAUUUUUAGAAAGAAAGAUAUUCUUCCAAAGCAUCAUAAA